GCUCUGUUGGCCUAGUGGUUAUAGCAUCCUCUUCAGAUGCGGGAGGUCGUGGAUUCGAUCCCCGGUCAUACCAUAGACUU